rnacentral:rRNA from 1 species
UACGUAGGGUCCGAGCGUUGUCCGGAAUUACUGGGCGUAAAGGGCUCGUAGGCGGUCUGUUGCGUCGGGAGUGAAAACUUACAGCUUAACUGUGAGCGUGCUUCCGAUACGGGCAGACUUGAGGUAUUCAGGGGGAGAACGGAAUUCCUGGUGUAGCGGUGAAAUGCGCAGAUAUCAGGAGGAACACCGGUGGCGAAGGCGGUUCGCUGGGAAUAUCCUGACGCUGAGGAGCGAAAGUGUGGGGAGCGAACAGGA